UCCUUACCUUACCUCUGACUUCAGUAAAUAAUUACUUCGAAGUUUAAAUCUAGCUAAAAAUGCUACAUUAUGCAUCAUUCUUUCUUUUUUUAACGUAUGAUGAUAUCUUUCGAGGGUCAAAUCACUCGUAAACAUCGGCUUCAACACAUUUUAAGCGAAGCUGCCUUUGCUUGCACACACGUACAUUACUUAAAUUUAAAACAAAUCAAUAACUGUUGGAGGAAUGGGCGACUUGGCUGCACUUCCUCCCAGUGUGCAAAACUGAAGCUUGUUUGUGGGAGCUGCCAUGUUGGACUUUUGGACCCAGACUCUGCGCAGUUAGUGACUUUAGGUGGAGUUGCUGGGUCACACUCCUGUCCUCACACCCACUGGACUCAAACACCCCCCCCCUUCACUUUUUACUAGUUCACCUGCUCCAGUUUUGACGGUAUCUGCUGAUGGGUUUGCUGUGACUGACGGCUUGUUAAAUUAAGAUUAUAACAAGACUAAUGGCUACAGCCAUGCUAUAGAAGCUCAGGACAGGCUGUGCAAACUAAGUGCGUGUUAGUCAAGCCAACAUGCACAAAGUGAAAACACCAACUACCUGAUGAUGGCGCUACACGACAAAUGUACCCUGAGAGGGUCUUGAAUCUUGGCACAACAGCUCAGCCAAAAAACGGAUGUCAGACUCACACACACAACACGUUGCUACUCAUGUCUCGUGGACUCUUUCAUCUUGCUCGUGUUGCUGAACAGUCC